rnacentral:lncRNA from 1 species
CGCGAAAGGAAGCAGGGGCAAGAUGGUCUUUGCGCACGGAUUUUUUCAAAUCAUUAUGAGCAUUAAAUGCCCAGCGCGGAGAACGAAACGGCAAACAGAUGCCACAGCAGAUCAAGAGACACGCGCACAAGAGACGCGUCCCUCCCACGAUCAGCCGACCCAACGACAACGCACGAGUGUAAACAUCACGCGCCACCAAUGGCCUCCACGGCCAUCGCUGACGCGUCGGGGGCACUGUUACGGCCUGGCCCAAAACUCGCGCGGGUCAACCCGACCCGAGUUCUCGCCGGCCCAGUGGUGCGUCCUCCACCCGACCCGGAC